AUGUCUGUGGGGUCCUGUGGGGUCUUAUGGUGUCUUAUGGGAUCCUAUGGGGUCGUAUGGGGUCUGUGGGUUAAUAUGCGGUCUUAUGGGGUCCCAUGGUUUCUUUGGGGUCCUGUGCCGUUGUAUGGGAUCCUAUGGGAUCAUAUGGGGUCUUAUAGGGUCCCAUGGUGUCUAUGGGGUUCUUUGGGGUCCUAUGGAGUCUGUGGGGUAAUAUGGGGACCUAUAGGGUUUUAUGAUGUCUUAUGGGGUCUGUGGGUUAAUACGUGCUCUUAUGGGGUCCCACGGUGUCUAUGGGGUCCCACUGUCUCUAUGGGCUCCUAUGGGGUCCCACGGUGUCUAUGGGGUCCUGUGGGGUUGUAUGGGAUCCUAUGGGGUCGUAUUGGAUCCUAUGGGGUAAUCUGGGGUCCUAUAGGUUCCCAUGGGGUUUUAUGGUGUCUGUGGGGUCUUAUGGGGUCCUGGGGUGUCCUAUGGGGUCGUAUGGGAUCUUAUNNNNNNNNNNNGUUUUAUGGUGUCUAUGGGGUCUUAUGGGGUCCUGGGGUGUCCUGUGGUGUCUUACGGGAUCCUAUGGGGGUAAUAUGGGGUCCUAUACGUUCCCAUGGGGUUUUAUGGUGUCUAUGGGGUCCUGUGGGGUCCCAUGGUCUCUAUGGGGUCCUAUGGGGUCCCACGGUCUCUAUGGGGUCCUAUGGGGUCCUGGGGUGUCUUACGGGAUCCUAUGGGGUCGUAUGGGGUUUUAUGGUCUCUAUGGGGUCCCAUGGGGUCCCACGGUCUCUAUGGGGUCCUAUGGGGUCUUAUGGGAUCCUAUGGGGUAAUAUGGGGUCCUAUAGGUUCCUAUGGGGUUUUAUGGGGUCUAUGGGGUCCCACGGUCUCUAUGGUGUCCUAUGGGGUCCUGUGGGGUUUUAUGGGAUCCUAUGGGGUCCUGGGGUGUCCUGUGGUGUCUUAUGGGAUCCUAUGGGGUCGUAUGGGAUCCUAUGGGGUCGUAUGGGGUUUUAUGGUGUCUAUGGGGUCUUAUGGUGUCCUGUGGUGUCUUACGGGAUCCUAUGGGUUCCUAUGGGAUGCUAUGGGGUAAUAUGGGAUCCUAUGGGGUAAUAUGGGGUUUUAUGGUGUCUAUGGGGUCUUAUGGGAUCCUAUGGGGUAAUAUGGGGUCCUAUAGGUUCCUAUGGGGUCUAUGGGGUCCCAUCCUCACCUCAGCCCACGGAGGAGGAAACGGAGCAGCAGCAGCAGGAAGGAUGGGGAGCUGCAGGGAAACGGACAAUUAGCGAGGAGAAGCCAUUAGCAGAGCCAAGGAGGGGUAAUUAAGGGCCGGGGGGGAUUAUUAGGGGGCAGGAGGAAUUAUUAGGGACUAAUAACGAUUAGAUGGAGAGAAUUAUUAGGGGGGAGAAGGAGGAAUAAUUAUUAGAGGGGGAGAAGGAAGGAAUUAUUAGAGGGAAAUAAUGAUUAGAGGGAAGGAAGGAAUAAUUAGAGAGGGAAAGUGAAUGAAUGGAGGGAUGGAGGGAAGGGAAAAGGAAUGAAGGGAGGGGAAAAGGAAUGAAGGGAGGGAGGAAGGGAGGGAAAAAUGAAUGAAUGGAGGGAGGAAGGGAAAGGAAAAUGAAUGAAUGAAGGGAGGGGAAAAUGAAUGAAUGAAUGGAGGGAAAAUGAAUGAAUGAAUGGAUGGAGGGAAAAAUGAAUGAAUGAAGGGAGGGAAGAAUGAAUGAAUGGAUGGAUGGAGGGAGGGGAAAAUGAAGGAACGAAUGAGUGAAUGAAGGGAGGGGAAAACGAAUGAAGGAAGGGGAAAAUGAAUGAAUGAAUGGAUGGAGGGGAAAAUGAAUGAAUGGAGGGAGGAAGGGGAAAAGAAUGAAUGAAGGGAGGGAGGGGAAAAUGAACGAAUGAAUGAAUGGAGGGAGGGGAAAAGGAAGGAAGGAAGGGGAAAAUGAAUGAAUGAAUGAGUGAAUGGAUGGAGGAAAAAAGGAAUGAAUGAAGGGAGGGAAAAUGAAUGAAUAAAUGGAUGGAGGGGAAAAUGAAUGAAUGGAGG
rnacentral:lncRNA from 1 species